CAGCCGCCGCGGGAAAACGUAGGUGGCAAGCGUUGUCCGGAAUUAUUGGGCGUAAAGGGCUCGCAGGCGGUUUCUUAAGUCUGAUGUGAAAGCCCCCGGCUCAACCGGGGAGGGUCAUUGGAAACUGGGAAACUUGAGUGCAGAAGAGGAGAGUGGAAUUCCACGUGUAGCGGUGAAAUGCGUAGAGAUGUGGAGGAACACCAGUGGCGAAGGCGACUUUCUGGUCUGUAACUGACGCUGAGGAGCGAAAGCGUGGGGAGCGAACAGGAUUAGAUACCCGAGUAGUCCCUGUCUCUUAUAC
rnacentral:rRNA from 1 species